rnacentral:rRNA from 1 species
CACGUAGGCUGAUAUUUAAGUCAGGGGUGAAAUCCCGGGGCUCAACCCCGGAACUGCCUUUGAUACUGGGUAUCUUGAGUAUGGAAGAGGUCAGUGGAAUUGCGAGUGUAGAGGUGAAAUUCGUAGAUAUUCGCAGGAACACCAGUGGCGAAGGCGGCUUACUGGACGAUGACUGACGUUGAGGCUCGAAAGCGUGGGGAGCAAACA